GGGAAGAGGGAAAGGUAGCAGAGGCCGCUGGUCUUUCUCGCGGCGACUCGCUGUCCCCGAGGAUCCCUCAGUGACCGAUGGGACCGGGGGUUUCCUGGGUCGGCGUGUCAGUGAGAGUGUGUGGGUAUGGCCUCCACGAGAUACGGGAUUCGUUUUGUUUUUGAAAAGAGGACGGAGCCACGCAACGGUCGGCGGCGAGCGGAGCAGCCGAGCAGGGCCGCACGCAGAGGCUGGCUGGGACUGGGAGAGACCUGAGACGUGAGGUCAGAUGGGGUUGACGUGCUCGGCGGCUGCAGCGGCUCGGGCUCGGCUGAGAGCGGAGCUGCGUGGGGCGUGGGCGCCUGGCAGGACGGAGGAGUAGACGACGCCUGCUUAGACUGCCGUGCCGAUGACCGAUCAUCGCCAUCUCUACGGCCGAGUAGAUACGCUCGUGAUCUCUGCGGAUUCGUGAUCGUCCUUCUCUUUUCUGCUCCACAAUUUGAGAUUUUUAGACGUUGAGUGUUCGAUCGCGUCGUCAUUUUCCGCCUGCUUUGCAAUUUUCAACUUUCAAGUACACGGCCUCGGGCCUUUGUAAGCCUACCAUGCACAGGCCCUGCACGACGGCCCGCAGGAGACAUUAGGGGAGGUAGUGGGCCGGACGGGGGAAGGUGUGGCCUCGAAUAUCCGGUUGUUCAGCCCAUCGCCCAAUGAGGUAUUUCAUGGGCUGUAUCCGUGACCGUGGGUAGUGGGCCGGUCUGAGGCACGCGCGCGCGCGUGUUCGGUUAUCGUAUUUUGCAAUAAAAAAACGGAAUUCAAAAAUAAAAUAAAAAAUAGCGCGACUAACAUCAGCUAGCAAACCCUGGGCUUGCAGUAGUCAAAGAUCACCUCAGGUGUUUUGAUCCUUGAGCUAAAGUUUAGUUCAUGUUAUAUUGAAUCUUCAGAAGCUAAUUAGGAGAACUAAAUAUGAGUUAAUUAUAAGACUAAUUACACAGAUGAAAGUUAAUUGCAAGAUGAAUCUAUUAAGCCUAAUUAAUUCAUAAUUAGCACAUGUUUACUAUAGCAUCACAUUGUCAAAUUAUGAACUAAUUAGACUUAAUAGAUUCGUCUCGCGAAUCAGCCUCCAUCUGUGCAGUUGGUUUUAUAAUUAGUCUAUAUUUAAUACUCCUAAUUAUUAUCUAAGCAUUCGAUGUGAUAGGGACUAAACUUUAAUCCUGGAAACCAAACGGGCCUCAGUUGGAUGAAGCUCCAAGCGUCCUGACUACAUUACAGUAUGCACGCUCAUCGUCGUAAUUUUUUUACCAGAUGUACUGCUAAAGUUUAGUACCUAUCACAUCAGAUAUUUGGAUACUAAUUAGAGUAUUAAAUAUAGGCUAAUUACAAAACUAAUUGCACAGAUGGAGUCUAAUUCGUGAGAUGAAUCUAUUAAGCCUAAUUAGUUCAUGAUUUGACACGUGGUGCUACAAUAACCAUUUGUUAAUGAUGGAUUAAUUAGGCUUAAUAGAUUUAUCUCGCGAAUUAGCAUUGGGGUUCUGCAAUUAGUUUUAUAAUUAGCUCAUGUUUAGUUCUCCUAAUUAGUAUCUGAACAUUCGAUGUGAUACUGUUAAAAUUUAUCAUCCAUUAUCCAAACACCCCGUAGUACAACUUCAACUUGUGAGAAAGUCGUCAGUAUGAAACGUGUUUCAGUGUACGUUGCACUGGCAGGUCGUGCUCUCUCAGUCUCUCCCCCGCCCAGAUGUUUGACCUUCAGCAGCAUCUAUCUGAGCCGGGAGCAUGCAUCAUCAGCAUCCUAGUACGGCUAGAUCCACGUACGCCCUGCGUGCAGGUGCCAGAUGGGAUCAGAUGUUGCACACACCUGUGGGCUGUGGCGAAAAGACCAGACGUGAGAAACAAGCCGGGAUACGAGGACGUGACAUCAAAUUAUAACAUUUUUUUCUUUGCACGUAUUCGAAGCCGAAGUCAGAGCAUAUCCAAUCGAGUGGCGUGUAGUAUCUCUUCAGUAUAAUAGUAUACGUAGCUAGCUAGUGUUCGUCCACACAUUAUUCAAUUCAAACCCCUCACUGUUCAGAUGCAGAGACACGAGCAACGUAAAAAGGCAAAUAGUGAGAGUGAAAGAAGGUUUCCAGCCGAUCCCGAUGCGGUUGCCGGCGUCUUUUUCGCCGGCGCAACGUCCAAUUACCACACUGCUAGCUGCUGUGCAGCUGCAGCCUGUAGAGGGCUGGGGGCCGGGACAGCCGGACAGGCAAGGUAUGGGCGCGCGCGCGGCACCGAUGGAAGCGAGCGCGUGCGUCUCGUCGGAGCGGCAGCAUCCCGGUCAAAUCACCCUCGACUAGUCUGCUUUCCGCGAGUGAUGCGGCCGGAGGGAGAAGAGAUCACUGUACCUGAGGCAACGUCGGUGUUUGGAUCCCUUCCUCGUGACUACUCCAGUGGUCUUCGUAGCGUGCUCCUCCGUUCUUAAAUAUACGGCUUUAAUUUUGAUCACUAAUAUCUAUUAAACAAGUUAAUUAAUUAAAGUAAAUUGUGUACCAUUAUAUCUAUUAUCAAAUAUUAUCUAUUUAUAAAAAUAUUUGUAAAAAAGAUGAAUAAAAAGUCAAUAGCUUCGUAUAUUGCACGGAGGAGUAUAUAGAGCGAGAGGCGUCAGCCAUGCUGAUGCAUGCAUCGAGCAAAUAAACCGGACGGUCGUCAAAUCCAGUAUACAGCCGCAGCAUGUUUGAUUAAUUAUUCAAUCAAUCGUGGAUAAUGACUUUUAACAAAAUAAAACAACAUUAUACAAUAGACCCAACGUUUAGAAGAAGUGGUCUGGAUUCGUUGAGUGUACACCUACAUACAUUAAUUGAAAGUGCCCUACAAUUGUGGGAAGGAGAGCCUACCAAGUAGCAGCUGAUCUUUCAGUUAGUCCAUUCUCAAUGAAGUUUUAUGGAUAAUAAAUAAGUUUAGUCAAUUUUGAUAACAUGACACACUAUUUACGAGGUGAGAGAAGAAAGUGAUUUCAUAGGAAUGAAAUCAUGUGUACACUAUUUUCAAAAUUUUUGUGUCUUGUACGUAACCUUAGAAACAACAAGAGGUGAAACUAUGAAUUGUGUGAGCUAUUUCAUCUAUGAACUAAAUAGAUUCAUGCUUACGUGGUAUUUUUGAAAAUAUAAAUAUGAAACUUUCCAUUGAGAAUACUUGCAUGUGCGGGCAACGAGCGGCACGCAGAACCGCAGGAAAAAGCUGAACAAUAAAUGUUCUAGCUCGUAGUCGUCGUAGCUAGGUAGCUAUCCAGCACGGUACAGUACUUAUAGUAUAUGCAUCUGACUACAUCUUCUACCGUUCUACGCGCAAGGCAUUAUUGCCUUGAGGCGACAGUCUUGGCCACUCAUCCACGGCGCCUCUACAAACUGCGAGGCAACCGAAAUUCCAAACAACUCUCGGUCAAACGGAACGCUGCCAUACGUACGGUGGUUUAUACGUGCAGUGCAGGGUUUAACUUGUGAGGUUACUCCGUACACGGCGACACGCACGCGCUGACACACGUACAAAUUCCUUCAAUCCUUGUCGCUUGACCCCGUUCUUUUAGCUGGUGAAGCCGUCACACCAAGGGGAAACGUACAAGCAACGUACUAGUCCCCGGCGCAAUUGCAAAAUACACACGCCAGUAGCUGAUGAGCUAGCGGCUGGAGGUCAAACUAAUAAAAAUGUUACUACCACCACUUCCAAAAAAAUAUAAUAGUCCAUUAAGACAUGGAAACAAUUUUAAAUGUGACAUUGUGACAAGCGAUAUCUAUGAGAAUAUGCAUAUUGCCCCCUCCAUUCGACAAUGUUUAUCAACGUUGAUCGACUUUUAAACUUGAUGGUUGGCCAUUCGUUUUAUUAAAAAAUGUAGUGCAAAUAUGGAAAAUAAAGUCAUCACGAACAAGUAACAAUAGAAAAUGGUGUUUACAUAAUUUCUUUAAUAAGAUAAAUGAUCAAUUGCCGUGUCUAAAAGUCAGCAAUGACAAACAUUUAGGAACCGAAGGAAUAUUUACUUAAAAAAGGAUACGGAUUGCAAAAAAAAAUGAUCAUCAUGAAUCUAAUAGCAUCAAUCUUCUUAUGUUCCAAAUCAAUAUGAUAUUCCAAAUAUUGAUGAUAAAUAAAAAAUAAAAAAAAUGUCUGACUAACAUGCAGCAACAACAUAUUUAGGAUUGGAGAAGAGAAGACCAUAGCAAACUUUUGAAAAACAAUUACUUGUAAGUAUUUGCCCAUUCCUUUACUGUGCCACUAUUAAGGAUCUGCUAGGAAAAUCUACACCCACUGUAUACUUUGUCUCAUCUGGCGGCAUGAUGCAUGUACACAAACCCUAUUGCCCAUUUUGAACUCACGAUGAAAAUGGAAGGAGCCGAAGAGCAAGUAUAGUGAUGCAUCAGUGUGCACACAGGGGACCCAUGAUGUGAGACAUCACAGCCACACAGGCGGCCCAUGCAUCGUUGUGCCAUUCCCAUUUAUGCCAAUGCAAGAGAUGCCAUGCUACCGAAAGCCCCUUUCUCCUGACCCUCUUCCUCUCUCUUGUAACCUCAAAGGCACAAACCCUAAUACAGACACAUACUACACACACUACAGAAGCAUAGAACUACUGACUACAUGCACUAGCACACUACAGAUCUGCUCUUCUUUUGAACACGAACACGCGCACAUAAACGCACAAUACAAAUACCAAGAGUCACACAAGCACAACCGUAUAAUUCCAAAAUGUAGAGUACUACAAUAAGGUACAAAUAGAUCGAGUCAGUUCAAGCGGACACAGCACAAAAGGAAGAACACAAACAACUGAUUCUAAACCGUCAGUAAGCUUCUUUCUAGAACACGAAAUCUGUUAAUUGCAGCAAACAGAGGAGAAGCAACUGUGCAAGGAUAGAGAUCGUCUCACCGGAGGCGAGAUAUGCUUUGAGCCUGAGCAAGUUAGCGUGCGCAUUGAAGGAGGGCAUGGCGGCAUGCAGCAGGCAGCAGGGGGCCAUUGCAUUGCAUGCCAGGGCAGGCAGGGCUCCCCCUCUUUUCUCUGCUGUCACACUCAAGAAGGACCCGUCCUGGAUGAUCAGUAGAGCACUACUGUUGGAAAUGACAUGGGAAAAGAAGUUUGCCAACCGCACGGCACGGCCGAUGCGAUGCCCUUACCAGGCCGGACGGCCGCGCGCAAUAAUGCCCGGCCAGACACCACACUAUCCCUGCAUGCCUCGCCGCUCUCAAAUGAUUGCAUAAUCAUGCAGCACAUGUAAACACUGGUAACCUAUCCCUAACGUCAUUUUUCAACCACAACCAGUAACACAUGCAUAGAGAUGAUAGAAGUAUAGUAAUCGAGUCAGCGUAACCAAAUGGGAUUCGUGUUGGCGAUCUCCAUGCUCCACAUCGCAUGUAUCUGAAAGCAAAACGGGAGAUCUGGAGCUGUAAUAAGAGAAAAUGAGACAGCUGCAGAAGCAAAGCUGCUGCUCAAAAAUGAGGAGAAACUGAGAAUUCAUGUGCUCAGGAGACGUAGAUAGCUUACUGGCCGAUAUGAUGUGUGUUCUUUUGGCUGCCUCCUGCCGACACCAACGAGAUCUCAGUAUGCACAACGAAUGCCGCAUGGUUAAAGGGAUUGAAGCCUGGUCCGAAAUCUCCGGUCGACAGCUCCGGCAAGGCCGGAAGAUAUCAAUCGAUCCCGACCGGAGACACCGAGCCAGACAACAACCCCCUUAACCUAAUCCAAGCAUGAAGCACCACAUGGAAUAAUCCAGCGCCCUCUCUCUUGCAGCACUACUUGGUGUGUUUCUAACUAGGUAGCUAAUUGGCGGUGAAUUGAGACGCCAUGGAUACAAUGGCUUGCGAGGAAUGAAGCCUGGUCCGACGCCUCUCGAUCUGUCCGGCAGCAGGCAACGAUCUGCAAGCUAGGACGCGGAUGCCUCGAGCCAGCCAACAUUCCCCACAAGCCCCCAUGACCAACGAGCUGAGCAAGAUGUGUGUAUGCAAGAUAAGGCCGUGAUGGGAAGUGGAUCUGAUGAUGAGCCUAUAUAUAGAAGAAGCUACCUGGAGGAAGCAAGAUGCAGGAUGGUGGAAUGGAUGGAGGAGUUGCAAUUGCAAAUGGUAGGGGAGGAAGAAGAAGGCCAAGGGUUUUUGAAGAGGAGGAGAACGAAGCAGCUAGGUAGCAGGGAAGAGGAGGGUGCGAGGACUGGAGGGGCACUAAUGGCAAUUUAUGGAGACAUGCCCCAUUUGCCACAGGGGGUGCCCUAACGCCUAUUAACUGCACUACUCUCCCCUUCUUCUCCAUUGCGUUGCCCGAUCGAGGCGCCAGUGGGCGGCGAUCUUUGCACUGCGCCCACCUCUCACUUUCCUGGGUCAGACUUCAGAGAGGGGGGCUAGAAAGGUGGUGUACUGGAGUAAAAACCAAGUGACUCCAGUGGUGGUUUGAAUUCUCUCAGAAAUGCCUCGUGAACUGCACCACUCCUCUCUGCACUCUACGGGCAAAAGGCUGUUCGGAAUGUCUUUGACGUGCUUGAAUUGUGGAGAAAAAUCGCUAUAGUUCAUGUCAAUUGAGGCUCCAAAAUGUUCCAUGCACAUGAUUUUUUGUACAUUUUUUUUAGCAAAACUAUCAAUAGUGUAGCACAUAAUAUUGGUGACGUUUAAUUUGGUGCAGCUUCAAAUCAAUGGAGUAUUGUUUAUGGCCAUUCUCUUUGAAUUGCAUUGAAGUGCUACAUUCAAGAAUGUUCUGCUGCUUGUUUUUACUCUGAAGCUUAUUUCGAGACCAUUGCAUUGGUCUCGUGAGAUGCGCCCAGAUGAUCAGCAGCGCAAUGAAGGCUGCGGAAUGUCUGCGAAAAGCUUGUAAGAAGAAAGACCUCAUAAUUACCGUGCCAAAUAUAUCAAGGCAGCCCUGUUUCGUGUUUACUGUCCUGGAUUUUACUGCCCCAAAACUAAAGGUGUUCUACAGUUGCACUAGUAGCAGACUAGUAGGGACUAGGGUAGCUCAAACUUCUAAACGUUGUCUUCUUGGAAAGAAUGAAGUGGUAGGAAUGAGACAUGGGUGACUUGACAGGAGCUAAGAAUCCCAGUGACCUUCAGGGAAAGCUAGCUAGCUUGGGUCAGGAAAGUUGUGGUAAUUGCAUUACAAAAAUGUCAACUUCUCCCAAAGAGUAAAAAUGUGUACUAUUUUAAAAUGUGACACACGCAGAGAGAGGGAGGGAGAGAGGGAGGGAGGGGAAGAGGGAGAGAGGGAGAGAGAGAUCACUGGGAUUUUAUCGAAUUGAUUGAAGAAAUGAUAAUAUAACUGGGGACUAGUACAAAUACAGUAUAAAUGCUGACUAGUAGUGCAAAAUAUAUAUAAAUGUGAGUACUGUACAUGUUCUGCAUCAUUCAAAUUUUGAAAAGUUGAUGUACACGACUAGAGCCUUUGCCACAUGCAUGCAUGAUCUCUGAAUUCUGAAACCGCAGGCUACGAUUGAUCAUCCUACUCUGAAUCAAACGGUCGAGAGGGCGUAGUAGUUUACGCACGGUUGUCCCCGGUCAACCUCACAGGAUUGACCAUCCGUAGACGCUGCGUG
rnacentral:lncRNA from 1 species